AAAAACAUGGGAACCUUCCAACUUUAGACUCCGAUAUAGCUGUUGAAGGAAAGCAGCUAACACUUCUGAAGAACAGUGCGUAAUUUCUUGGACAUAUGGAAUGGAAUCCCCAAUCCUGUCUUCAAACUGCUGAGGUUGUUUUCCUCUUCCAUCUGUUUUCAGGGCUACAUCAUCUGGAGAUGUAUCACUUCUCUCAUUGAAUAUACGAGUACAGCAAUUGUUUUGGGCAUGAAAGGAACACAUAUUUGGCUCAUGUUUAUAAAUUAUUUGUAAAUAUUAAGUCACUUUUUAUUCAUAUAUUUCAAGAAAAGUCACAAAUCCUAACCACUUUUAACCAUUCAUUUAUAUCCAUUAAUAAUUUAAAUCGUUUACACACUUUUCAAACACCAAUAAGUAAUAUUAUUGAGCUCCACCAAUAUUUUUCUCCGAUCUAUGUGACAGUUUGAUCACUAUUACAUAAUCUCAUGAAGUUAUAAUGUAUUUUUUUUAAUCUAUGUACGACAUAGCAAUUUCCCCACUACCGUAUAUAUUGAUAUUAAACAUUAGUGAGACUAAAUAAUAUUAUACAAUUUAAAUAGAGUCAUUCUAUCCUCAUCUACCGGAAAAAAGACAUCAUAAGCCUUUGCUUGGAAUUCAUUAUAUUUUGCUAAAUCCUCUUUUUAUUUUUUAUUUUUUUUCCCAACAUAUUGAUGAUGUAUGAGAGGAUAUUAUUUGUGGGCAGGGGCAGAUCCAGCUAGUGGCGAGCUAGGGCGGUCGCCUUAGCUGGAUCCGCCAGAAUCUUCAGACCGUCGAGCACUGGUGGCUGAGUUGCAGGCAUUGCAGGAUGGAGACGGAGGACAGCCAGUAGGAGGAAAUUUGGAGAAGAAAGGAAUGGCUCCUGGGCUGGCCCCUUUCUUUAAAUUGUUGUCUUGUUAGGCUGAUUUUCUUCACAAUGGGUCUGUUUUUGUUAAAAAAAUCCUAGGCCCAAUUCAAUUGCCCAUUGUCUUGGUUCAUUAUACUUUCAAUUUCCCACAAAUUCAACCCCUACUUUCCCCCAAAUCGUGAGUUCAUGAUUGUGAUUGAGUCUAUUUAGAUGAUGGCUUUCAUGAUUUUGGAUAAUUUAAUUUACUUUUGAGUAGAUAUUUGGGCUGGCAGAGAAAGAGAUGGAAUACGGUGUGGAUUUGUUCAACCAGUAGGUGAACCUUGCCUUUUGCCCUUGCAUAUAAUUCUUAUUAACAUUAAUGUUCCAUCUUUCUGUUGAAAAUAUUUAUUUAUUUAUUUAUUUAUUA
rnacentral:lncRNA from 1 species